rnacentral:rRNA from 1 species
GGCUGUGGGCCGUAAUCUGAGCAGCACGUAGCGUGCAGGAUGACGGCCCUAUGGGUUGUAAACUGCUUUUAUAAGGGAAAAAGUGAGUCUCGUGAGACUUUUUGCAUGUACCUUAUGAAUAAGGACCGGCUAAUUCCGUGCCAGCAGCCGCGGUAAUACGGAAGGUCCGGGCGUUAUCCGGAUUUAUUGGGUUUAAAGGGAGCGUAGGCCGGAGAUUAAGCGUGUUGUGAAAUGUAGACGCUCAACGUCUGCACUGCAGCGCGAACUGGUUUCCUUGAGUACGCACAAAGUGGGCGGAAUUCGUGGUGUAGCGGUGAAAUGCUUAGAUAUCACGAAGAACUCCGAUUGCGAAGGCAGCUCACUGGAGCGCAACUGACGCUGAAGCUCGAAAGUGCGGGUAUCGAACAGGAUUAGAUACCCUGGUAGUCCGCACGGUAAACGAUGGAUGCCCGCUGUUGGUCUGAAUAGGUCAGCGGCCAAGCGAAAGCAUUAAGCAUCCCACCUGGGGAGUACGCCGGCAACGGUGAAAC